GGUAUUUUAAACACAGACUGUCUGAGCUUGGUGCCGACCUGACUAGAGAUUUGGGAGAGAACGGGGAGUACGUCUCAAGGACAAGGUCACUAUCUCUGUCGGCUGGGUAGUGAGACAGACAGUGGUCUUACAAACCUCGGGAAUUGGUCAGAGCUAUUGAUUGAUUGUUAUUAUCAUUGGGAUUGGAAAUUCUCUUAUCAAUUGGUCCUUCGAGCCGGAUUUCAAUACCUGUUUUCUGUCAUCCCAUGGGAGCGCCAAAAACCGUGCAUGGACAGAUCAGAGAUCCGUAAGUUAAAGACCUGACCUCUGGAAAUUGAGGUUCCAUUUCAGGCUGGUGGCAAACUGGUACACGACAGAAAACAGGGACGAAAUCCAACCAACAUUGAAUUCUCAGCUGCAAGAUAAGGAGAACUACAGAAGGAGAUUACCCAUGGGAUUGUGCCAGGGGACUGGGUCUGGGUCCAAUCAUUAAAGAGAAAGGACUGGAAGCAGGCACAGUGGGAGGGACCAUACCAAGUACUUCCUGGUGACAGCCUUCGCUGUGAGAAUAGCUGAAGGACCUACCUGGGUUCAUAUCACUGCAAAAGGGUAAGACACACGGACACUGUCGAACAAUCACAGUCAUCACAAUCAUCUCUCUAAUGAAGAUUCCCUGAUCCAGUCAUUUUAUCACUGUGUUUGUUCAUAGAAGUAUGGCCUGGCCUCUGGCUGCUGAUAUGUUUUCAGGAAAAGGGUGGGGCUUUACAGGAGUGCUGGUUGAUCUGAGCUGUCUUAUCGUGGGAGCCAUAUUCCUGAUACACCACACCCCACCUGAGUAUGCAGAGGGUGGUAACUUGACCCAUGGUUUAGACAAUGAGGAUUUUGUAUUAACCAAGCAUAAUAGAUCCGUAGGUCGGGAUAGACAGGAAGUAUAGUGAAGGUGAGGGUUUUUGACUGCAAUCCGGAGAGAGAGAUGUAUUGCAUAAAGAUACGCCUUAGCCUUAAAAAUGUAAUGAAAGAGGAUCUAGGGUUAUGGUUUGUUGGAUUUGACCAGUUUUCGGUCGACACCCUAGUACGGUUCCGGGUAGAGGAGGUUAGGACAGGGGAUAACUCUAUUGUCAGCAAGAAAACUAGCAGAGCAUCUGACACAACAGACACUGACAACAGAUUAGUCCAGAGCCAAGGGCCGGUGUGGAUAGUGCAGACGAAAGAUCUUAAGGAAGUGAUUGAGGUGGUUAUGGAGAUUCUAACCUUUGGUUAGAAUGGAUCCACUAUACAGCCAGAUCAGUAGUGAAAGAAGAAUGUUAUGCCUGCGCCACAGCCAAACCUCAGUUGACUACCAUCCCCUUUCCAUUUGAUGGAAUUGAUACACCUAGGGGAAUGGCCUGUAUGGUAAAGCUGUUCAUGAAGGCAGGGAACACAGACGAUGACAGUUGCAUUGAUCUGCAUCCCCAUGUGCCCAUCACCUCCAGGCUUUCACAGUUACAGGUGGCCACUAUUAUUGUAUGGCCCGAUACAUCCCAAAUGGAUGGGACGUACGAACCUGCAAUAGGACAGAGGAUGUCACAGCUGACAAGACAAUGAGGGACCUGACUGGGUGGUUGAGGCCGAGGACUUUAGUAAGAUAAAAAGGCCUAGAACGGAUGUCUGGGGGUUUGUGGAGGUGUGAGGCUGGGGCCUAACCUGCCUACCAAUUGAACCGGUAGUUGUGCACUAGUGCAGUUAGGCAUGCCCUUCACCCUUAUCAAACACAAAGACCUAGAGCCAGGUAGAAGAGAGAGAGAGAGGGAGUGCUCCGUCUGGAUCUUUUAACAAUAGAAUUUACAUAGGAUAGUAUUGGAUAUGUUACUAGCUGAAAAGGGUGGUGGGGUGUGUGAUAUUCGGAAGUAUGAUGUUGUACGUUUAUCCCCGAUAACACAGCUCCAGGCGGAUCAGUGACCAAGGCCCUGGCUGGUGUAACCACCUUAGGUCAUGAAUUGGCUGAGAACUCUGGGGUAGAUAAUUCUCUUACAAAUUUUUUGAUAGUGUGUUUGGGAAAUGGAAAAAUUUCAUAAUCACUGUGUUGUGGGCAACCUUCACCUAUAUGAGUAUUUUGGUUCUGUGUGGGUGUUGCUUGGUCCCUUGCAUGAAAGUUUUGCUUAUCAGGACUCUGGAGAGAUCAGUGGUGCAACAGAUGGUGAGGUAUGGACCGAUUUCGAGCUCCAGCCUGUGUGAUGCCGAAUACGGGCCUCCAGGCCUAGGAAAUGGCUCCGUUUCUUUUAACAAUGAGGAGCCAAUGUUGGAUGAGACUAUUUUUGAGGGUUAAGACAGUUUUUUAUGAAGAUUGUAAUAAAAACCUAAACAGGAAGUGUUCGGAUACUUAAUGUAGGCCUAUAACUGUCAUUGAUGGAUAAGGAAUGAAAAUACACACAUUGAUUUUGUGAGAUUGAUUUUGAUUGACAUUGACGAUAUUAAUAAAAAUAGACGUGUCAUUUUUUGUAGUUAAUGUUUAGGCAAUAGUUGGGCUUGCAAUGGCUGGUGUAACAUAUGGCAACAGGAUAUGAUAAGCAAAGUAUUGGUCUGGAUUAUUCUUGUAUACAAUUGAUGUAUCAGUGUUUAUUAUUUAGUCAUUUAGGGUGGAUUGAUAGGUGAGAAUUGUCUGUUAAUUGAAUGAUUAGAAUAUUCCGCACUGAAACAUAUAAUUGUAUGGAAAUGAUUAGAAUGUAUAAAAUCAUAAUCAAUAAUCAAGUCCAAAUCAGAAUUAGGGUAAAGACAAUAUGUCUUUAUGGUAUUUUAAACACAGACUGUGUCUGAGCUUGGUGCCGACCUGACUAGAGAUUUGGGAGAGAACAGGGAGUACGUCUCAAGGACAAGGUCACUAUCUCUGUCGGCUGGGUAGUGAGACAGACAGUGUGUGUGCGUCUGUUUGUGUGCAUGUGUGUGUGGGUAUGUUUGUGUGUGUGUGUGCGUAUGGCUGUGUGUACGUGUGGGCGUGCGAAGUCAGUAUAAAAUGAAUUGAUUUGUAUUCUUGACUUCAGAACAUUCUGUGAAUAAACUUUUUUGACUAUUUA